GACAGAGGGUGCAAACGUUGUUCGGAUUUACUGGGCGUAAAGCGCGUGUAGGCGGCUUGGCAAGUCGGAUGUGAAAGCCCACGGCUCAACCGUGGAAGCGCAUCCGAAACUGCUUCGCUUGAGUCUCGGAGAGGAAGGUGGAAUGCUUGGUGUAGAGGUGAAAUUCGUAGAUAUCAAGCAGAACACCUGCGGCGAAGGCGGCCUUCUGGACGAUGACUGACGCUGAGACGCGAAGGCGUGGGGAGCAAACAGG
rnacentral:rRNA from 1 species